AUCGAACGCUGGCGGCAGGCCUAACACAUGCAAGUCGAGCGCGCGGCGGACGGGUGAGUAAUGUAUGGGGACUGCCCGAUAGAGGGGGAUAACUACUGGAAACGGUGGCUAAUACCGCAUACUCUCGUAUAACCCAUAUGGUAUUAGCUAGUAGGUGGGGUAAAGGCUCACCUAGGCGACGAUCUCUAGCCGGUCUGAGAGGAUGAUCAGCCACACUGGGACGGAGACGCGGCCCAGACUCCUAAGGAGGCAGAAGUGGGGAAUAAUGCACAGUGGGCGCAAGCCUGGUGCAGCCGUGCAGCGGGUAUGAAGAAGGCCUUAGGGUUGUAAAAUACUUUCAGCGGGGAGGCGUUACCCGCAGGAGAAGCACCGGCUAACUCCGUGCCAGCAGCCGCGGUAAUAC
rnacentral:rRNA from 1 species